UCCUACGGGAGGCAGCAGUGGGGAAUAUUGCACAAUGGGCGCAAGCCUGAUGCAGCAACGCCGCGUGAGGGACGAAGGCCUUCGGGUUGUAAACCUCUUUUAGUAGGGAAGAAGCGACUGGGUUUUCCUGGGAGUGACGGUACCUGCAGAAAAAGCACCGGCUAACUACGUGCCAGCAGCCGCGGUAAUACGUAGGGUGCAAGCGUUGUCCGGAAUUAUUGGGCGUAAAGAGCUCGUAGGCGGUUUGUCGCGUCUGCUGUGAAAACCCGAGGCUCAACCUCGGGCCUGCAGUGGGUACGGGCAGACUAGAGUGCGGUAGGGGAGAUUGGAAUUCCUGGUGUAGCGGCGGAAUGCGCAGAUAUCAGGAGGAACACCAAUGGCGAAGGCAGAUCUCUGGGCCGUAACUGACGCUGAGGAGCGAAAGCAUGGGGAGCGAACAGGAUUAGAUACCCUGGUAGUCCAUGCCGUAAACGUUGGGAACUAGAUGUGGGGACCAUUCCACGGUCUCCGUGUCGCAGCUAACGCAUUAAGUUCCCCGCCUGGGGAGUACGGCCGCAAGGCUAAAACUCAAAGGAAUUGACGGGGGCCCGCACAAGCGGCGGAGCAUGCGGAUUAAUUCGAUGCAACGCGAAGAACCUUACCAAGGCUUGACAUAUACCGGAAACGGCUGGAAACAGUCGCCCCGCAAGGUCGGUAUACAGGUGGUGCAUGGUUGUCGUCAGCUCGUGUCGUGAGAUGUUGGGUUAAGUCCCGCAACGAGCGCAACCCUCGUCCUAUGUUGCCAGCACGUAAUGGUGGGAACUCAUGGGAUACUGCCGGGGUCAACUCGGAGGAAGGUGGGGAUGACGUCAAAUCAUCAUGCCCCUUAUGUCUUGGGCUUCACGCAAGCUACAAUGGCCGGUACAAAGGGCUGCGAUACCGCAAGGUGGAGCGAAUCCCAAAAAGCCGGUCUCAGUUCGGAUUGAGGUCUGCAACUCGACCUCAUGAAGUCGGAGUCGCUAGUAAUCGCAGAUCAGCAACGCUGCGGUGAAUACGUUCCCGGGCCUUGUACACACCGCC
rnacentral:rRNA from 1 species